AACUGUCAAUGAUGAUUUUUGUUUGAAAACAUUGGGAAUCUCUCUGAAAAGAGUGAAGAUGACUUUUAACUGAUGCAGUA